GUACGCCAGAGACGCACCACAGCCAGGCCCCAGCCAACACUGCCAAGUGAUGCAGAUGCUGGCGAAGCAGGUUCUUCUUCUGCAAGCCGCCCUCCAUUAAGGCGCCCAUCACAGGGCUCGGUGAGUGUGCCUAGGAGGCCAAGCAAGACACGUCGCGUUGAGCCUGAGUCUGCGGCUCCAUCAUCACCACCCCGGCGGCGCAUCUCCGCAGUGUUGCCCCAGCCACCACAGGCAAUUUUGGCAAGUCCACAAAGUGAUGAGCCACAAUCACCUCAGCUGUCUGAACCACCCAUCAUGGUCGAGGACGCCCAGCAGGAACCUGACCAACAGCCUACCUUCACACUACACCUGCAGCCCGUUGAUCCUACCCAGCCAACCCCGCAGCAGGAUAUACCACAAGCAUCCGUUAGCCCCCAAUUAAUUCCAACUCCACCCCAGCAACAAAUGUCCCCUGACUUUUGGAACAGUUGGGCCACACAACAAGUACAAAACUCUGCCUACCUGAACACACACACACACAACACCUUGCCAGUCUGCCCCAUCAUCUUCCUCGCAUUAGUCGGAACUCGGGCAGACUGAUUGUUCAGGUUGGCAGAAUAGCAACUUCAAUGGAGCAGAUCAGGGCGGACAACACUCAAAUGCUUGCAAAUUUGACAAGAAUAAUCGAUGAGCAACAGCGGCAGCAACAAACCCUAAUCCAAGUAAUACAGCAUAACCAAGUGGUGAACGAAAGUUUGUCGCGAAUUAUUGCCAGCCACACUGCAACAAAUAUCCAACUUAAUGCGAGUAUACACAACCUCAGCCAAAGUAUUACUGUGAUGGCAGCCCAACAAGUCAGCUCAAGCUCCGGAACGACUACCCCAAGCCAGACCCCAGUUACCUCCCCUGUUCGACGCUCAAGCAGAACACGGGCCAACGACCCUGGUCAAACCUCUGCACCCAGCACACACAAAAAAAAAUAAGGAAGGCUGCAUGAAAUGUU